rnacentral:rRNA from 1 species
GCCAGCAGCCAUAGUACGUUUGAUAGGUACACCAGUUUUCCAUGGAUCACUCAUGUUAAGCAACGUUGUUCGUGGUUAGUAUCCGGAUGGGUUACUAACAGGGCAAUCGCUUGCUACUGGCU